rnacentral:rRNA from 1 species
GGGGAUGACGUCAAGUCCUCAUGGCCCUUAUAGGUGGGGCUACACACGUCAUACAAUGGCCGGUACAAAGGGCUGCCAACCCGCGAGGGGGAGCCAAUCCCAUAAAACCGGUCGUAGUCCGGAUCGCAGUCUGCAACUCGACUGCGUGAAGUCGGAAUCGCUAGUAAUCGUGGAUCAGAAUGUCACGGUGAAUACGUUCCCGGGUCUU